CACUGGGACUGAGACACGGCCCAGACUCCUACGGGAGGCAGCAGUAGGGAAUCUUCCGCAAUGGACGAAAGUCUGACGGAGCAACGCCGCGUGAGUGAUGAAGGUUUUCGGAUCGUAAAACUCUGUUGUUAGGGAAGAACAAGUGCCAUUCAAAUAGGUUGGCACCUUGACGGUACCUAACCAGAAAGCCCCGGCUAACUACGUGCCAGCAGCCGCGGUAAUACGUAGGGGGCAAGCGUUGUCCGGAAUUAUUGGGCGUAAAGCGCGCGCAGGCGGUCCUUUAAGUCUGAUGUGAAAGCCCACGGCUUAACCGUGGAGGGCCAUUGGAAACUGGAGGACUUGAGUACAGAAGAGGAGAGUGGAAUUCCACGUGUAGCGGUGAAAUGCGUAGAGAUGUGGAGGAACACCAGUGGCGAAGGCGACUCUCUGGUCUGUAACUGACGCUGAGGUGCGAAAGCGUGGGUAGCGAACAGGAUUAGAUACCCUGGUAGUCCACGCCGU
rnacentral:rRNA from 1 species